AUGAACGCUGGCGGCGUGCUUAACACAUGCAAGUCGAACGAAGCGAUUAAGAUUGAGAUCUUCGGAAGGAUUUCUUAAUUGACUUAGUGGCGGACGGGUGAGUAACGCGUGGGUAACCUGCCUUGUACAGGGGGAUAACAGUUAGAAAUGACUGCUAAUACCGCAUAUGCGCACAGUAUCGCAUGAUACAGUGUGAAAAGUAUUUCGGUACAAGAUGGACCCGCGUCUGAUUAGCUAGUUGGUGAGGUAAUGGCUCACCAAGGCGACGAUCAGUAGCCGACUUGAGAGAGUGAUCGGCCACAUUGGGACUGAGACACGGCCCAAACUCCUACGGGAGGCAGCAGUGGGGAAUAUUGCACAAUGGGCGAAAGCCUGAUGCAGCGACGCCGCGUGAGUGAUGAAGUAUUUCGGUACGUAAAGCUCUAUCAGCAAGGAAGAUAAUGACGGUACUUGACUAAGAAGCCCCGGCUAACUACGUG
rnacentral:rRNA from 1 species